rnacentral:rRNA from 1 species
UACGUAGGGUGCAAGCGUUGUCCGGAAUUAUUGGGCGUAAAGAGCUCGUAGGCGGUUUGUCGCGUCUGCUGUGAAAACCUAGGGCUUAACCCUGGGCCUGCAGUGGGUACGGGCAGACUAGAGUGCGGUAGGGGGAGACUGGAAUUCCUGGUGUAGCGGUGAAAUGCGCAGAUAUCAGGAGGAACACCGGUGGCGAAGGCGGGUCUCUGGGCCGUAACUGACGCUGAGGAGCGAAAGCGUGGGGAGCAAACAGG